GACGAACGCUGGCGGCGUGCCUAAUACAUGCAAGUCGAACGCACUCUCGUUUAGAUUGAAGGAGCUUGCUCCUGAUUGAUAAACAUUUGAGUGAGUGGCGGACGGGUGAGUAACACGUGGGUAACCUGCCCUAAAGUGGGGGAUAACAUUUGGAAACAGAUGCUAAUACCGCAUAAAACCUAACACCGCAUGGUGUAGGGUUGAAAGAUGGUUUCGGCUAUCACUUUAGGAUGGACCCGCGGUGCAUUAGUUAGUUGGUGAGGUAAAGGCUCACCAAGACCGUGAUGCAUAGCCGACCCGAGAGGGUAAUCGGCCACACUGGGACGUGAGACACGGCCCAGACUCCUACGGGAGGCAGCAGUAGGGAAUCUUCCACAAUGGACGAAAGUACUGAUGAGCAACGCCGCCGUGAGUGAAGAAAGGGUUUUACGGUAGUCGUAAAA
rnacentral:rRNA from 1 species